AUAAGGGGUUUCACCUUGUUGCCCAAGCUGGUCUUGAAGUUCUGGGCUCAAGCGAUCUGCCUGCAUUAGCCUCCUAAAGUUCUGGGAUUACCAACAUGAGCUACCAUGCCUGGGUCAAAGCCAUUCUCUGAGCUGAAGAAAAACUACAAAAGAUAGAAACUCAGAUGUGCAGGAAAGAAUAUAGACACCAAAAAAGGAGUGCAAUUUUGACCAAUUACUUUUUACUGGAAGAACUUCAAGAAUAGCUAUGAAGCAUAUGAAGAGGUCUUAUUCCGAGUGAUCCUGAUGCUAGUCAAGGAAGGGAAUGACUGGUUAGAAUCAAUGCCCACACCUGAGAAUUGUGCUUGAGAUAGAUUCUCCUGAAGACACAGGGCUUCACAGGAAGGAGAGAUAAUUAUUGGAUGGAAAACAGAACUGAGAAGAGAAAUCACUUGUGUCCCAGCACCAUUUGUUGAAAAGGAUAUUCUUUCCCUGUUGAAAUAAUGUCUUGGCACCCAAACUGAAAAUGAAUUCACCUCAGGUGUCAUCCUGUUUUAUAUAUCAGAGUAUUCUACAUCAAAAGGAGACUUAAAUGAUUGAGAAAAACAUAGUGGAAUCC
rnacentral:lncRNA from 10 species